UAGGGAAUAUUGGGCAAUGGGCGAAAGCCUGAUCCAGCAAUGCCGCGUGAGUGAUGAAGGCCCUAGGGUUGUAAAGCUCUUUUACCCGGGAAGAUAAUGACUGUACCGCGGAGAAUAAGCCCCGGCUAACUCCGUG
rnacentral:rRNA from 1 species